UUCAAGAGAAAAAAUAGGCUGCCUAGGUGAUUUAAAAGGAAUUUAAUUUACACCUUUAGCCUAUAGAAAGGGACCCACACUAGUUUGAGAUCCUAAGACUAACCCCUGAUUUCUUUUUGCAGGUUUAGGUGAAGGGAAGUAGCCAAAUAUGGUACAUGGAUAGUGGCUGCUCAAAACAUAUGACUGGAAGCAAGAACCUGUUCCUUUCACUUGAGUAAUUAAAAGGAGGUAAUAUCUCCUUUGGAAAUGGGAAUAAAUGUGAGAUUAUUGGGGUUUGGAAAGGUAGAUAAGACAAACUCACAUUUCAUUAAGAAUUUCUACUUGAUAGAUGGCUUGCUAUAUAUCCUAAUCAGUGUAUUACAACUGUGUGAUAGAGGUAACCUUGUAGUUUUUACCUCUACCAAAUGCUUUAUGAUUAAUCUUACCACUGAUAAAAUUUUUUUGCAUGAAAAAUGAGUUAACAAUAUUUACAAUGUAGAUUUUUCCACUCUUUCAUAAAAUGAACUCACUUGCCUGAGUGUAUUGGAGAAUGAUCCCAUCUUGUGGAACAAAAGACUUGGUCAUGAAAGUCUGAAUCAACUCAAUUAAUUAGUCUCCAAGGACCUGGUGAUAGGGCUACCUAACAUCAAGUUCAAGGAAGAUAAAUUUUGUGAGGCCUGUGCAAGGGAGAAGCAGGUAAGAUCAUCCUUUAAAAGCAAAAAAAGGUUAGCACAAUUAGGACAAUGGAACUGGUUCAUAUGUAUUUUUGUGGUCUAGUGAGAACUUUGAGUAGAGGUGGUAAGAAAUAUAUGAUGGUACUUGUUGAUGAUUAUUCUAGGUUUACCUGGGUACUGUUCUUAACAUCUAAGGAUGAAGCAUUUGACAUGUUUACUGCUUUUGUUAGAAAAACUCAUAAAUAACUAGGUAAUCAACUUGCGUCAAUUAGGUCUAAUCAUGGAACUGAAUUUGAAAAUGCUAAGUUUGAUGAAUUUUUUGAUGAACAUGGUAUAGAUCAUAAUUCUUUGCCCCUAGUACUCCUGAACAAUAUGGAGUAGUUGAAAGAAAAAAUAGGACUCUUAAAGAUAUGGCUAAGACUAUGCUUCUUUCUAGUAAACUUCCCCAUAGUUUGAGGGUAGAGACUGUAAAUACUGCAUACUACAUCAUUAAUAGGUACAUGACUAAACCUCUUAUAAAGAAGACUCCCUAUGAGUUACUUAAAGGGAGAAUACAAAAUAUAUCUCAUCAUAGGGCAUUUGGAUGCAAGUGCUUCGUGCAGAAUAAUGGAAAGGACUCCCUAGGUAUGUUUGAUCCCAGAAGUUAUGAGGGAGUAUUCUUGGGAUAUUCUUCAUAUGACAAAGCUUAUAAAGUGUUCCAUAAAAUAACGUUGUGCGUAGAAGAAACCGUGCAUGUAUUUUUGAUGAAACUAACAUUCUUUCUGAUACAUAGGAACAUGAAGAUGAAGCUAUUGGGCUGGUAAAAGAUUUGAGUGAAGUAUCAGCUCAAGCUAAAGUUGCACCAAAAGAAGUAACAGGUGAUGGAACAGGUUCCUCUAUCUAGGGAAACCUGACAGGGGGAACUGAACAAAGAGGAACUGAAACCAAUCACCUAAAGAAACUUGUUCAUGACCCUAUUCCUCAGCAACAAAACAUGGGAGAAACAUCAAGCGGAAA
rnacentral:lncRNA from 1 species